rnacentral:rRNA from 1 species
GACGAACGCUGGCGGCGUGCUUAACACAUGCAAGUCGAACGGAAAGGCCCUGCUUUUGUGGGGUGCUCGAGUGGCGAACGGGUGAGUAACACGUGAGUAACCUGCCCUUGACUUUGGGAUAACUUCAGGAAACUGGGGCUAAUACCGGAUAGGAGCUCCUGCUGCAUGGCGGGGGUUGGAAAGUUUCGGCGGUUGGGGAUGGACUUGCGGCUUAUCAGCUUGUUGGUGGGGUAGUGGCUUACCAAGGCUUUGACGGGUAGCCGGCCUGAGAGGGUGACCGGCCACAUUGGGACUGAGAUACGGCCCAGACUCCUACGGGAGGCAGCAGUGGGGAAUAUUGCACAAUGGGCGGAAGCCUGAUGCAGCAACGCCGCGUGCGGGAUGACGGCCUUCGGGUUGUAAACCGCUUUCGCCUGUGACGAAGCGUGAGUGACGGUAAUGGGUAAAGAAGCACCGGCUAACUACGUG